CCCCUUUUUAGCUCUUUGUUCACUUACAUACACAAUCUAAACACUCUACCAAAAAUCCUCUUUGUUCUAAUCUAGAUUGUGCAUCAUUACAAGCAUGCAAAGGAUAAAAUAAGAAGUAAAAACAACCCAUAAUAGGCCAUUUCAUCCAGCCAUAAACACAAAUACAUUGCUCCCAAAUUCAUUCAAGAACAAACACUAGAAACCUACAAAGUUUCAACUACUAAAACACCUUCUUUUCUCAUCAAAUCUUCUUUAAAAACCCAUCAAAAACUUCUGAAAAUUUACGUUUUUAAACUCAAAUAUUCCAUAAUAAUAAUCUUCAUUUCAAGAGCUUUACAUAGAGACCAAACUUGAAGAAAACCAUCAAUAAUAGACUAACCAAUAACUCUCAAGUUGUGGGACUUGUUCAACAAGUGUUGCUCAACACUAAUCAAUCUCCAAAGUGACAAAAUAUCAAAGACAAAGGAGUUGGAUUUUAGUUAUUGAGAAGUUGUACAAAGGUUAAAGAGUACUAUUGGAGCAAAGGAUCGAGAGUGAACCCCCAUGGCACCUCGGCGGAGAAUUAAUAUGCGAACGGAGGAUGAACUUAAGUUGGAGUAUGACUCCCUUUUGUUUAGAUCCCUUCAUUGUAUUUGAGAGACUAUUAGUUAGUUGUUUAAAUUUGAACUAUUUUAAAGAUGUAAUUUGAACUUUGGACUUAUUUCGAUUUGGUUGUAAUUUUCCUUUAUUUUGGACAGUUAAGACUUUCGUUAUAUUGCUUUGGUUUUGGUUCAAGUAUUUUACUUGGACAUUGGUUUAACCUUUAAG